rnacentral:rRNA from 1 species
AAACUGACAGAUUUACUUCGGUAAUGACGUUAGGAAAGCGAGCGGCGGAUGGGUGAGUAACACGUGGGGAACCUGCCCCAUAGUCUGGGAUACCACUUGGAAACAGGUGCUAAUACCGGAUAAGAAAGCAGAUCGCAUGAUCAGCUUUUAAAAGGCGGCGUAAGCUGUCGCUAUGGGAUGGCCCCGCGGUGCAUUAGCUAGUUGGUAAGGUAAAGGCUUACCAAGGCGAUGAUGCAUAGCCGAGUUGAGAGACUGAUCGGCCACAUUGGGACUGAGACACGGCCCAAACUCCUACGGGAGGCAGCAGUAGGGAAUUUUCCACAAUGGACGAAAGUCUGAUGGAGCAACGCCGCGUGAACGAUGAAGGUCUUCGGAUUGUAAAGUUCUGUUGUCAGGGAC